rnacentral:misc_RNA from 1 species
GAUGAAGAACGUAGCGAAAUGCGAUACGUAAUGUGAAUUGCAGAAUUCAGUGAAUCAUCGAGUCUUUGAACGCACAUUGCGCCCCCUGGUAUUCCGGGGGGCAUGCCUGUCCGAGCGUCAUUGCUGCCCUCAAGCACGGCUUGUGUCUUGGGCCUCCGUCCUCCUCCCGGGGGACGGGCCCGAAAGGCAGCGGCGGCACCGCGUCCGGUCCUCGAGCGUAUGGGGCUUCGUCACCCGCUCUUGUAGGCCCGGCCGGCGCUUGCCGACACAUCAAUCUUUUUUCCAGGUUGACCUCGGAUCAGGUAGGGAUACCCGCUGAACUUAAGCAUAUCAAUAAGCGGAGGA